GGCCAACUGCCUUGUGCCUGUGAGCUUCGCAGGCUGGCGUACUUAGUCUGCCACUCUUCACCAUCUUCACAGAGCCCCAGAGGCGAGAAGGGUCUACCACAUCUCCCACCACUGUGAUAAUCUCUCUGCUUUGCCACAGGCCCGGUGGGGCUGGCUGACCACUUGAUGGACUGAAAUAGCCAAGACUGGGAACCAAAACAGCCUGAUGUCUUCAUAAGCUGAGAGCCUCAGGCAUAAGUUACAGUGAUGAAAAGCCCAGUAACAAAAAUGUGUAGCUGAGCAUCUGAAGUCUAUAUGGGGUCAUCAAUUUUUCCUAUAAAAGAUGUACUCAUGGUUCAAUGCUGCCCGUGGUGAAAGGUUAUCAGAGCCCUGAUCUCCAAACAAAUGAGUGCCUAGGUUUCCUUUGCAGCAUUAAGACUAAAUAAUAAGAGACAAUGUAGGUGCAGUACAAUAUAUCUUCAAAUCUUAAAAAUGAUUAUUCAACUAUCUCUGCUUAAAGACUUCUUUAAAAAAAAGAAAGCCAAGUGUUUCAAUGCUCUGUAAAUGAGCAAAAAUAAGGCUGGAGCAGGCCGUUCACAAGUAUAAAGCUUAUGCAACGAGAGCCGUGCAAAAAACAAGCUUGGUUCCUGGAACAAUAACCCCAAGAGCCCUGUUUAGCUGUUGAGCUGGCCAAGUGCUCUGGACAGCAGAGCUGGUGGGAGGACUUGGGCAGUGAUGAAGGUAGGGGACGGUGGUGCCGGUAAGAGCUCUGGCCACUAUGUGAAAGCCACCAAGGCUAGCCUCUGCUUCCCUAAGAUGCUUACCCUGCAGACAGAAGAGUUUUCUUUUGUAAAACAUGCUGUUCACAGUGGCAAAGACGGUCUUCAGAUUGUCUUCCCUAGUUACUGACAGUCAAAUUCUGAUCCUGUGACCUAGAAAAAAAGUCAAAUUUAUGAUAUUACUAAUCAUAUUCUCAUCAAUCAUCUAUGUAUGACUUGAUUUACAUUUUAGUUUAUCUGAAGGGAUCAAAGUGGGUUGAAAUCCUUUGCUUUUGACUGCAUGGGGUGAGUUAAGAUUUGAAUUAAACUUAGUUCUUUAGGGAACUAAGAAGUGAACAAGGAGACCAGGCUGAUGGAAACAAAGCAAUAGGAUGAGUUAUCAGGGUAGAGCCUAAAGUGUCCAUAUGUGGGAAGCACUGGUUUUUAGUAUAUAUGGAUUAGCCCACUUAAUCCUGAAAAUGAUCAUUUUAGGUUGUUUUGUAGUACCCCGUGUUUAAGUGAAGAAACAUAAGCACCGAAACUGGCAGGGGUCAUAUGAGGAGGUCACAGAUCCUAAUGCUUUCAAAUGCUGCCUCUGAGGCUGCCCUGGCUCCUGGAAGAUACAAGUUUACAUCUAGGCCCAAGGUGAGCCCUUGCAUCAGAUAAACAGCCUCCUCAAGCACAGGCAGGGAUAUGAACUCAGAGGUGCUGGCUGUGACGGCAUUCGAAGCCAAAGUAGGAGGAAGGAAAGCAAUCUGAGCAGCAUGGAGCUUCCUGAGGAUGUUCUGUCUUGGGUCAUUGUCAGCCAUUUCUCUCCUGCCCCAGCCCCC
rnacentral:lncRNA from 1 species